rnacentral:rRNA from 1 species
CCUACGGGCGGCAGCAGUGGGGAAUAUUGCACAAUGGGGGAAACCCUGAUGCAGCAACGCCGCGUGAGUGAAGAAGUAUUUCGGUAUGUAAAGCUCUAUCAGCAGGGAAGAAAAUGACGGUACCUGAGUAAGAAGCGCCGGCUAACUACGUGCCAGCAGCCGCGGUCAUACGUAGGGGGCAAGCGUUAUACGGAUUGACUGGGUGUAAAGGGAGCGUAGACGGGGAUACAAGUCUGAAGUGAAAGCCUGGGGCUCAACCACGGGACUGCCUUGGAAACUGUGUUGCUGGAGUGCUGGAGAGGCAGGCGGAAUUCGUGGUGUAGCGGUGAAAUGCGUAGAUAUUAGGAAGAACACCAGUGGCGAAGGCGGCUUGCUGGACAGUAACUGACGUUGAGGCUCGAAAGCGUGGGGAGCAAACAGGAUUAGAUACCCGGGUAGUC